UACGUAGGGUGCAAGCGUUGUCCGGAUUCACUGGGUUUAAAGGGUGCGUAGGAGGGUAGGUAAGUCAGUGGUGAAAUCUUCGAGCUUAACUCGGAAACUGCCGUUGAUACUAUCUAUCUUGAAUACCGUGGAGGUGAGCGGAAUAUGUCAUGUAGCGGUGAAAUGCUUAGAUAUGACAUAGAACACCAAUUGCGAAGGCAGCUCGCUACACGAAUAUUGACUCUGAGGCACGAAAGCGUGGGGAUCAAACAGG
rnacentral:rRNA from 1 species